CUGCCUCCAAUUCCAAACGUCCUUCUGUGGCUUGCUGGCUGAAGCCGUCAGCAAUGCUGGACUCCAUCCUAGGCCCUGUAUGCUGCCCAGCACUCCUGCGCUCCGUUGUUCUUGAAUCAACAGAUACAUGGUCAUCUUCAUGACAGGACAGGUUGUCUUGGUAACUCAGUUGGCUUAGUCCAUCCAGAUCAAGGCCAUCAUGAAUUCUAGACUUCUCUUUGUAAUGUUUUCUUCUCC
rnacentral:lncRNA from 1 species